AUUGAACGCUGGCGGCAGGCUUAACACAUGCAAGUCGAGCGGGGAAGAGUAACUUGCUACUUAACCUAGCGGCGGACGGGUGAGUAAUGCUUAGGAAUCUGCCUAUUAGUGGGGGACAACAUCUCGAAAGGGAUGCUAAUACCGCAUACGUCCUACGGGCGAAAGCAGGGGACCUUCGGGCCUUGCGCUAAUAGAUGAGCCUAAGUCGGAUCAGCUAGUUGGUGGGGUAAAGGCCUACCAAGGCGACGAUCUGUAGCGGGUCUGAGAGGAUGUUGCGCCAGACUGGGACUGGGACACGGCCCAGACUCCUACGGGAGGCAGCAGUUGGGAAUAUUGGACAAUGGGGGGAACCCUGAUCCAGCCAUGCCGCGUGUGUGCAGAAGUCCUUUUGGUUGUAAAGCACUUUAAGCGAGGAGGAGGCUACCGAGAUUAAUACUCUUGGAUAGUGGACGUUACUCGCAGAAGAAGCACCGGCUAACUCUGUGCCAGCCGCCGCAGUAA
rnacentral:rRNA from 1 species